rnacentral:rRNA from 1 species
CGGAUCGCAGCCUGCAACCCGGCUGCGUGAAGCUGGAAUCGCUAGUAAUCGCGGAUCAGAAUGCCGCGGUGAAUACGUUCCCGGGUCUUGUACACACCGCCCGUCACACCAUGGGAGCCGGAAACGCCCGAAGCCAGUGGCCUGACCGCGAGGAGGGAGCUGUCGAAGGCGGGUCCGGUGACCGGGGUGAAGUCGUAACAAGGUAUC